UUUGAACUGUGUGUAUUUCUAUUGGACGUAUUCUACCUAUUUGCCCAAUUAGAAAGGUGAAGGGGCGGGACAUCACUGUAACCAUGGUAACCUAGCAACCCUUGCAAGGGAAGAGCAAUCAAUGAGUACUGGGGAAGUUAGAAACGUUCGUGAUUAAUUACAUUGGUUUCGUUGGUGAAUGCAAAGCUUAAAAUGGACCUGAUGUAACUUCCAGAAGAAUGAAGGCAGUUCAACAAUGAGAACAGAAGGAGAACAAGUUCAUCCAUCCAUGAUCCUACCUGCCUUUCCACGAGGCGCUGGAGCCCGUUUCAUCCAUCGCUGGAUGAGAGGCGGUACUGGACACGUGGCCUGUCCAUCACAGGACAAACAGCCAUUCACACUCACAUUCACGCCUACGGGCAAUUUCAAGACGCCAAUUAAGCUGACACGGCGUCUUUGAGUGUGGGAGGAGGCUGGAGUGAGAACAUGAACCACUGACUUCCACUGUUCUCGCUCACUUGGAUCCGUGUUCCCUCUAGAACCAUUUGGACACGAUUAAUGGCACCAAAUCAUCUGCCACAGCGUUUGAGCCAAAUCUGCUGUGAAGUUUAGUCUCUGCAGGUCUGGGAAGCUCCACAGAGGCUCCACAGAGUGAGCGAAGGGUCAGAGGUGACGAGACCAGCGCUUUGCCUCGCAGAGCGAGUCUGUACCAAACAGACACAAUACAAAACAGGCUGCGUGUGAGCAGAUGGAGCGUGAGUUCGUCUGAAGUGUUCAGAGACGGGCGAGAUAAUAGCCCACAGCUAAUCCACUGCACACUGAAAACUCAUUACUCCUUAGGAAGGAAACAAAGGAACGCGUGCUCCCCACGAUGCUAAGAAAUACGCUGCUUAAGGUGCUUAAAACCUUGGCACAAACCUCCUGCUUUUCCUCGUGUGUGAAAUUUCUUUUGUGCUCAGUUCAGCGGAUUUGACUUGUCGUCUCUAUUGACGUGCUGCUACACGUAUGAGGCCGGCAGAGGGCAUCUGCUGCUCCCCAGGGGGUCAGGACGCCCACGAAGCCUCUCGCCAACAGGAGCGAACCAGCUACGCCCACGCAACCGGAAGUGUCCGUGAGCAAACAUGAGAAUAAACAGGCGCGACCCCCUGCUGUGUCGUCACCCAGUGAGAAGCAACUGGCCACCUUCAUCCGAGGACCCUGCACUAGAAUCCAGUGUCUCGACUCAGGAGGAGAGGAUUCUUGUGAGGAUGUAAUGAGUCGGCUGUUUCUACUUGAUGAAGUCAAAAGCACAAAGAGCUUCAUGUCCCACUAAUUAAAGGGGUUGUUUGGCAUCGUCUGGUGCUGCGGCGUGUCAUGACGUCACAUGUGGAGGGAGUACGGCGACAGGCUACAUCAGUCAAGCCUCACGGUUAUUAAUAAGCGGUCACAUCUCCUGUUUACAGUGACCCGUUACUGGAACCUGCAGCGGCUCCUGUCGCCGCGGCUCCGUCCCACUGCUCCAAUAAGGCUCCAGUUGCUACAUCAGACAGUGAAUCUGUGAUCGCAUUCUCUGCCCCCACACGAGCUGCAGCAGCAGUUCACUGCAAAUGUGAUUAGAAUUGUUUCCAGCCCAGUCAGACCACACCCAUACGUCUGUGGAGCAGGAGGACAAGUUCAAAACAACAGUGUUGGGUUGCGGCUCACGCCCUGCGUGGAUGUGAACCACACACAUGCGCUCCUGUGCUUCACUGCCUCCUUCAGCAGCCUGCGUUGUGUGAAAGUCAUUUAGGUCCGUUCCACUUCCACUGCUCACACAUGUUGGCUUUUUUCCACAACUCAUUACACUGUUAUGAUCGUUUCAUGUCCGGGGAGUCGUUGCAACACAAGCAAUUAGAAAAUCCUUCACCUGUGCGCGAGCUGAAUGAAAUCACUGAAGAUUGGAUUUAGCCUGAUUACCUUUCCUCCUUCAGGUGGAAAAUGUGCGCUCAGCAUUUUAAGUCACUGCAGCAUCCAGCCAAGAGGCAGCGCCACAGUCAGACUAAUGGUGGGACGGAGCCCCGGGCAGCGCUGCUUUAAUAGCUGCCUGAAAGCAGGACGCACUCAGACGAACACGAAAUGACCUUUCGGCCACGAAGGUUCAAUAUACGUUACAAAUCCUGCCUGUUGCAAUAAGCUGUGCUCCUGAAUCACAGAUGAUGCACAGGGACCAGCAGCAGAUGGAAAUAAAACACCAAGAGGGGACGCAGAUCCAGUGAGACAAAGACCUUUGUGGUGAAGCUGAAGACGCAUGCGACAGAAAAGUUUGGAGCGACAAAGAAAAGCAGGCUGGACUCACCUCCCAACGCUUGCUUCAUAACGAAAUUCAUGCUGAUGGCUUGUAAUUCCCUGCCUUCCUCAGUGAAGCGAUGUUACAUUCAGUAAGUGGGUUCUAUGAGCUCGUUGUUGCCAGGUCUGGAGGAGAAAUGACAAAAAACAGAA